GGGCCCGCACAAGCAGUGGAGUAUGUGGUUUAAUUCGAAGCAACGCGAAGAACCUUACCAAGGCUUGACAUCCUACUAACGAAGUAGAGAUAUAUUAGGUGCCCUUCGGGGAAAGUAGAGACAGGUGGUGCAUGGUUGUCGUCAGCUCGUGUCGUGAGAUGUUGGGUUAAGUCCCGCAACGAGCGCAACCCCUAUUGUUAGUUGCUACGAAAGAGCACUCUAGCGAGACUGCCGUUGACAAAACGGAGGAAGGUGGGGAUGACGUCAAAUCAUCAUGCCCUUUAUGUCUUGGGCUACACACGUACUACAAUGGCGGUUAACAGAGGGAAGCGAAGGAGCGAUCCGGAGCAAACCCCUAAAAACCGUCUCAGUUCAGAUUGCAGGCUGCAACCCGCCUGCAUGAAGUCGGAAUUGCUAGUAAUCGCGGAUCAGCAUGCCG
rnacentral:rRNA from 1 species